UACAGAGGGUGCAAGCGUUGUUCGGAAUUAUUGGGCGUAAAGCGCGUGUAGGCGGCUUUGCAAGUCGGGUGUGAAAGCCCUCAGCUCAACUGAGGAAGUGCGCCCGAAACUGCAGAGCUCGAGUGCCGGAGAGGGUGGCGGAAUUCCCCAAGUAGAGGUGAAAUUCGUAGAUAUGGGGAGGAACACCGGUAGCGAAGGCGGCCACCUGGCCGGUAACUGACGCUGAGACGCGAAAGCGUGGGUAGCAAACAGG
rnacentral:rRNA from 1 species